CAGCGUGUGCCAACCCUGUGUGAGGAUGGAGCAUGGCGGUUUCCCAGGACUGCAAAGGGACCUGGGCGAACCUCCUGGCCUGCAGAUUUAUUAACUUCAUCUCCUGUGAUGUUGUCAGGACGCAUCAGGCCCCCCGAGCCCAGUCAACUUUGCGGAGCGACAGGAGUGAGUUUGUCCCAGGAUGCGAAUUGUGUGACUUUCCUGAUUCAUCCCAGCAAGAGAGUGUGGCCCAAUCAGCUCUUCGGUGAAGAAGACAAUUGUCUCUCCCACAAGUUCUCUGUAAGGCAUUUUAAAAGGAAAAGGGAAAAAGUGCUUUGACCCAAACUACCCUGCAUGAUGGGCAAAUUGUCUCAAGGAGACAACCUUAAUGGCUGAGUAGAGCAAGAGAGAGCACAAGUGGGAGCAGGAGAGGGAGAGAGAACCUCAAGAAGACUCCAUGCUGGGCACAGAACCAACGAAGGGCUCAAUCUCAUGACCCCCAGGUCUUGAACUGAGCUGAAAUCAAGAGUUGAAUGUUUAACUGACUUCUCUACUCAGGUGUCUCUAUUUUGUUUCUUUAUUAAUUCUCUACUUUUUGAAUUUUCUAAAUUGAGCACAUAUUGCUCUGACGAUCUGAAAAAAUGUUAAAGCAACUGGAAAAAGUAAAACCAAACUGAACACAGCCGUCCCUCCCUCCGCCACAUCAUCGUUCCUUGGGUCUGGCCUUGCCCUGACCUUUAUCAUUGGGUCAAAGUGGGCCGCCGAACUCUGUUGGGUGAAUGGGCCCGGGUAGGUGAUAAUGACUAGUUCGCACCAGAAACUAGAAACUGAGGUACCAGAUCUCAACCCGUGAUUCUCUUUCUUGAUUUUUGUUGUUGUUGUUUUGUUUUAAGAUUUUACUUAUUUGUCAGAGAGAGAGAGUAUACAAGCAGGGAAAGAGGCAGGCAGGAGAAGCUGGAUCCCCGUGAGCAAGGAGCCUGAUGUGCGACUUGAUCUCAGGACCUUAGGAUCAUGACCUGAGGCAAAGGCAGACACUUAACUGGCUGAGCCACCCAGGCGUCCCUUUUCUAGUUUUUCUUUUGAGGAUGAUUAUAGAGAUGGAAGGCUCCAUCUCAGAGAUGCCUGGCCCUAGAGGAUAGUGACCUCAGCAAUUGAAUUACACUGAUUCUGUGCCUAAUGAAGAUUUGACAGGUAAUUUCUUUUCAGUCGGCCAAGUCAGAUUGUUUGGCUCAGUGGCAAUGACUGUAGACAGACAUGACGUCCAUGCGUAAUCCUUUUUUUUUUUCCCUCAGAACAUCUCUUUCCUCCAUUGGUCUAAUCAACUGCAUAACUGAAGGAGAAAAGAGGUCAAAUCCCACUUCCAUCCUCUUGAUGAAGGGGUAGGAGAUAGGACGAGGGCAAUUAGAACGCUGUGUGAAGCAAAGUGAUGUUUGAACUGCUAUCAAGCCACCGAGGGGUUCAGAACAGGCCACUUUGUUUCUCCUCAGGGACUGAGGAAUCUUGGCGUUCCUGGAUGUGUUGAAAGACAAACUAUAAAUGGGUAGUUUAGAGCAAGACCAAAUAAAUACAUGCUUUCGCCACAUAGAUUUCAGACUCUUGAGGGAAAGGAGCUAUUUUAUUUGAUUAUAAUUUUCUAGAAUGUGCCACCUACAACUCUAGCAUGGUUAAAAUAGCCUGUAAUAUUUUGUCAUGAGGUGCUUAUGUUAUCUAUUUUUGCAUUUCCCCAUGAGAAGCUAUAAAGGAUGUGUUUAUACUGGUGUCUGUUUUGCCUGUGGCUGUUGCCACUGGAUGAAUCCCUUUGACUGUGUGGAAACAAUUGAAAAGUGUUACAGUGUAUUAUUGCUGAAAGGACAAUGUAAUGAUUGUUUGGAAAUGCCCUUGCCUUUAGGAUGCAGAUGGAUUGUGAUGUGAUAGUCUGGACUGAAAGAACCCUUAUUUUUGUGUUCCCUGUCUCUGGAAGAAGACAUGCUGAAA